rnacentral:rRNA from 1 species
AUGAACGCUGGCGGCGUGCCUAAUACAUGCAACUCGAGCGAACAGACGAGGAGCUUGCUCCUCUGACGUUAGCGGCGGACGGGUGAGUAACACGUGGAUAACCUACCUAUAAGACUGGGAUAACUUCGGGAAACCGGAGCUAAUACCGGAUAAUAUAUUGAACCGCAUGGUUCAAUAGUGAAAGACGGUUUUGCUGUCACUUAUAGAUGGAUCCGCGCCGCAUUAGCUAGUUGGUAAGGUAACGGCUUACCAAGGCAACGAUGCGUAGCCGACCUGAGAGGGUGAUCGGCCACACUGGAACUGAGACACGGUCCAGACUCCUACGGGAGGCAGCAGUAGGGAAUCUUCCGCAAUGGGCGAAAGCUUGACGGAGCAACGCCGCGUGAGUGAUGAAGGUCUUCGGAUCGUAAAACUCUGUUAUUAGGGAAGAACAAAUGUGUAAGUAACUAUGCACGUCUUGACGGUACCUAAUCAGAAAGCCACGGCUAACUACGUG